UACGUAGGGUGCGAGCGUUAAUCGGAAUUACUGGGCGUAAAGCGUGCGCAGGCGGUUUUUUAAGACAGGUGUGAAAUCCCCGGGCUUAACCUGGGAACUGCGCUUGUGACUGGAAGGCUAGAGUACGGCAGAGGGGGGUGGAAUUCCACGUGUAGCAGUGAAAUGCGUAGAGAUGUGGAGGAACACCGAUGGCGAAGGCAGCCCCCUGGGCCGAUACUGACGCUCAUGCACGAAAGCGUGGGGAGCAAACAGG
rnacentral:rRNA from 1 species